rnacentral:rRNA from 1 species
AUUGAACGCUGGCGGCAUGCUUUACACAUGCAAGUCGAACGGUAACAGGGAGCUUGCUCCGCUGACGAGUGGCGAACGAGUGAGUAAUGCGUCGGAACGUGCCGAGUAGUGGGGGAUAACGCAUCGAAAGGUGUGCUAAUACCGCAUACGUACUGAGGUAGAAAGUGGGGGACCUUCGGGCCUCACGCUAUUCGAGCGGCCGAGGUCUGAUUAGCUAGUUGGUGAGGUAAAGGCUCACCAAGGCGACGAUCAGUAGCGGGUAUGAGAGGAUGAGCCGCCACACUGGGACUGAGACACGACGCAGACUCGUACGAGAGGCAGCAGUGGGGAAUUUUGGACAAUGGGCGCAAGCCUGAUCCAGCCAUGCCGCGUGUCUGAAGAAGGCCUUCGGGUUGUAAAGGACUUUUGUCCGGGAGCAAAUGCCUGGUGUUAAUAGCACUGGGAGCUGAGAGUACCGGAAGAAUAAGCACCGGCUAACUACGUGCCAGCAGCCGCGGUAAGAC